rnacentral:rRNA from 1 species
AUUGAACGCUGGCGGCAGGCUUAACACAUGCAAGUCGAGCGGAGCGGCGGACGGGUGAGUAUUGCUUAGGAAUCUGCAUCUUAGUGGGGGACAACAUAUCGAAAGGGGUAAUAAUACCUAAUACUUAUAGAUGAGCCUAAGUCGGAUUAGCUAGUUGGUGGGGUAAAGGCCUACCAAGGCGAUGAUCUGUAGCGGGUCUGAGAGGAUGAACCGCCACCGUGGGACUGAGACACGUCCCAGACUCCUCCGGGAGGCAGCAGUGGGGAAUAUUCCGCAAUGGAGGAAACCCUGAGCCAGCAAUGCCGCGUGAGUGAUGAAGGCCUUAUGGUUGUAAAGCACUUUAAACGGGGACGCGUUACUCGCAGAGUAAGCACCGGCUAACUCUGUGCCAGCAGCCGCGGUAAUAC